rnacentral:rRNA from 1 species
CUACUUGCGGGGUAGAGGCAUGGUGAAUGCGGGGGUGUCGAGGGUAGUGCGGAUUGAUUGGGUUUAAAGGUGCCGUAGUCUGACUGAUAAUGCUGUGAGGAGAUUCUGGCACUUAAGGAUAGAUCUGGUAUUGAUACUGGUAGGCUUUAUUAUAUUUGAGGUAGCUUGAAUUAGUAGUGUAGCGUUGAAAUGCAUAGAUAUUACGUAGAACACCAAUUGCUAAGGCAGGUUACCAAGAUAUAACUGACGCUGAAAGACGAAAGCGUGGGGAGCGAACAGGAUUAGAUACCCCAGUAGUC